rnacentral:rRNA from 1 species
GGAUUNCCCUAGUAACUGCGAGUGAAGCGGGAUGAGCUCAAAUUUUGANUCUNNCGNUCUUCAGGCCGUCCGAGUUGUAAUCUAGAGAAGCNUCUUCCGCGCUGGACCGUGUACAAGUCUCCUGGAAGGGAGCGUCGUAGAGGGUGAGAAUCCCGUCUNNGACACGGACCGCCAGUGCUAUGUGAUGCGCUCUCGACGAGUCGAGUUGUUUGGGAAUGCAGCUCAAAUCGGGUGGUAAACUNCAUCUAAAGCUAAAUAUUGGCGAGAGACCGAUAGCGAACAAGUACCGUGAGGGAAAGAUGAAAAGAACUUUGGAAAGAGAGUUAAACAGUACGUGAAAUUGCUGAAAGGGAAACGCUUGAGGUCAGUCGCGUCGGACGGGGAUCAACCUUGCUUCUCGCUCGGUGUACUUCCUGCUCGACGGGUCAGCAUCAGUUUCGGUCGCCGUACAAGGGUCGAGGGAAUGUGGCACUCCUCGGAGUGUGUUAUAGCCUUCGGUCGCAUGCGGUGGUUGGGACUGAGGAACUCAGCACGACCCCUCGAGGGUUCGGGGCCACGGCCUACGUUAACGUGCUUAGGAUGCUGGCAUAAUGGCCUUAAGCGACC